UACGUAGGUGGCAAGCGUUGUCCGGAUUUACUGGGCGUAAAGAGCGCGCAGGCGGUCGUGCAAGUCGCGUGUGAAGGCCCCCGGCUCAACUGGGGAGGGUCACGCGAUACUGCUCGACUCGAAGGCAGGAGAGGGAAGUGGAAUUCCCGGUGUAGUGGUGAAAUGCGUAGAUAUCGGGAGGAACACCAGUGGCGAAGGCGACUUCCUGGCCUGUUCUUGACGCUGAGGCGCGAAAGCUAGGGGAGCAAACAGG
rnacentral:rRNA from 1 species